rnacentral:rRNA from 1 species
CAGCCGCCGCGGUAAUACGAAGGGUGCAAGCGUUAAUCGGAAUUACUGGGCGUAAAGCGUGCGCAGGCGGUUGUGUAAGACAGGUGUGAAAUCCCCGGGCUUAACCUGGGAACUGCGCUUGUGACUGCACAGCUAGAGUAUGGCAGAGGGGGGCGGAAUUCCACGUGUAGCAGUGAAAUGCGUAGAGAUGUGGAGGAACACCGAUGGCGAAGGCAGCCCCCUGGGCCAAUACUGACGCUCAUGCACGAAAGCGUGGGGAGCAAACAGGAUUAGAUACCCCCGUAGUCCCUGUCUCUUAUAC